GCAGAACUUGUUGGUUAAGUAGGUCAGACAGUGUGGGGACAGAACUAAACCACCAGGGAUAAGAGAGAAGAGGCUGGGUUUGAUGCUUUCUACAUAGCUACCUGUCUCUGAUCCAGGCUGUCAUAUGCAAACAAAUAUGUAAGGAAUGUGGACUUGUGGAAUGAGCCAAUGGGAGCACCUUGGGUGCUCACCUGACAAGAGGAGGGUACUCCAGAACAAUAGAAGUUACAUUUGUCCUGAAUUGGCAAGAAUGAUAGCACAUGCUGCUAGAUAUGGAUCAUUUGAUAAAUCACCAGGCUGGGGUCUGGAAAUUGCUGGUGUCAAUCACAGUGUAUGCCACUGCUACUUGUAAGUGGAUUUGAAAUUGCGGAAUAAGAUGAGAUGGACCAAAGGCCCUGCUAAAUGGAGCUAAAUAUCUUCAGAGAACUGCUAUUUCCUUUAGCUGUCUCUCCACCCUUUUCUACUUCAGCUGGGCGUCUCCUCAGAGCAGAGUCAGCUGGGCGUCUCCUCAGAGCAGAGUGAGAGACACUUUCAUCCUCCUGAGAGAUGCUGCCUCCAGAGGAUGAAAAGCUUCCACGCUAGGGGCCAGAAGUUGGAUCUUUUAUGGAAUUUGCGAUUCAUCACCAAGAGCCCAAAAGAUUAAUUUGCUCCUCUUGUGUUUCUAAUCACAUGGGCCGUACUCUAGUACAUUAACAUUGUUUGAACAGACCUAGGAAGCUCACCUUCCCAACAAAGCAGCAGGAAACAGAACAUCUCUUUGGCAAAUUGUCGACUUCCUGGUCUAAGAAAAACAUCCCUUCAACUUAUACUGAGUCAGGUGGUAGAAGAUGGCUAGAACGCAUGGAUGCCAAUAAGAGAAAGGGGCAGUUGGAUUUUCUUUGUGGAGGGUGAGAACCAGUCAUAACUCCCAUAGCUGUCAUGAGUAGGAAUUGGGAUUCAGCCCAAGGGAAAACUUGCUGGCAUUUGGGGCCAGCUAAGGGCAGGAUCGACUGCCAUGGGAAUCUCUGAGUUUUUCUUGGUAAGUUACUAAACGGUGGAGAUAUAUGUCAAAUCCUAGAACAUACAGGAUGCCCAGAAUUCAUGAUCAUGUGAGAAUUGUUUGUCAUACUUAGAGAAAUGACUAGAACACAGUAGAUGCUCA